GGGGAAAUACUGAGGAAACACUUCCCUUAGGGUCAUAAUGGGAGAUGUGGUUCACGAGUGGGGUCAUCAUUAGAGACAUAUCACCACAGACACAGAGACUGAGGACUGAAGAUUAGUGAUCUUCCCAAGCAAGCCCAGCUAUGAUGAGGAUGAAGCAGUUAAUCCCACCACCUCUAGCUCAGGAUGAGAGAGCAACUCACACAUCCCUCUUAGAAGACCAAACUCUGGCCGGUUUUCUGCAUGCCUGGUGCUCCUUGCAGAAACAGAGCCUUCCUGCCUACCUCUGGAAUCCUGGGGCCUCAGGUGGUGCCCAGUCCACAGUAGGAACACAAUAGGAGAUGAGUGAG